rnacentral:rRNA from 1 species
CCUACGGGUGGCAGCCGUGAGGACUAUUGGUCAAUGGGCGCGAGCCUGAACCAGCCAAGUCGCGUGAGGGAAGACGGUCCUAUGGAUUGUAAACCUCUUUUGUCGGGGAACAAAAGACGCCACGCGUGGCGUUCCGAGAGUACCCGAAGAAAAAGCAUCGGCUAACUCCGGGCCAGCAGCCGCGGUAAUACGGAGGAUGCGAGCGUUAUCCGGAUUUAUUUGGUUUAAAGGGUGCGCAGGCGGAAGAUCAAGUCAGCGGUAAAAUUGAGAGGCUCACCCUCUUCGAGCCGUUGAAACUGGUGUUCUUGAGUGAGUGAGAAGUAGGCGGAAUGCGUGGUGUAGCGGUGAAAUGCAUAGAUAUCACGCAGAACUCCGAUUGCGAAGGCAGCAUACCGGCGCUCAACUGACGCUCAUGCACGAAAGUGUGGGUAUCGAACAGGAUUAGAUACCCCUGUAGUC